rnacentral:rRNA from 1 species
UAGGGAAUCUUCCACAAUGGGCGAAAGCCUGAUGGAGCAACGCCGCGUGUGUGAUGAAGGGUUUCGGCUCGUAAAACACUGUUGUAAGAGAAGAAAGACAUUGAGAGUAACUGUUCAAUGUGUGACGGUAUCUUACCAGAAAGGAACGGCUAAAUACGUGCCAG